AGAACGAACGCUGGCGGCAGGCUUAACACAUGCAAGUCGAGCGGGUAGCAAUACCAGCGGCAGACGGGUGAGUAACACGUGGGAACCUUCCUAGAGGUACGGAACAACGCAGGGAAACUUGCGCUAAUACCGUAUGUGCUCUUGCGAGGAAAGAUUUAUCGCCUUUAGACGGGCCCGCGUCGGAUUAGCUAGUUGGUGGGGUAAUGGCCUACCAAGGCAACGAUCCGUAGCUGAUCUGAGAGGAUGAUCAGCCACACUGGAACUGAGACACGGCCCAGACUCCUACGGGAGGCAGCAGUAGGGAAUCUUGCGCAAUGGGCGAAAGCCUGACGCAGCCAUGCCGCGUGAAUGAUGAAGGUCUUAGGAUUGUAAAAUUCUUUCAGCGGGACGAGUAAUGACGGUACCCGCAGAAGAAGCCCCGGCUAACUUCGCGCCAGCAGCCGC
rnacentral:rRNA from 1 species